rnacentral:rRNA from 1 species
UAAAAAAAGGUAAGCUACUAAGAGCGAAUGGUGGAUGCCUUGACUGGUAAAGGCGAUGAAGGACGUACUAGACUGCGAUAAGCUACGGGGAGCUGUCAAGAAGCUUUGAUCCGUAGAUUUCCGAAUGGGGCAACCCAAUGUAUAGAGAUAUACAUUACCUAUAUAGGAGCGAACGAGGGGAAUUGAAACAUCUUAGUACCCUCAGGAAAAGAAAUCAAUAGAGAUUGCGUCAGUAGCGGCGAGCGAAAGCGCAAGAGGGCAAACCCAGUGCUUGCACUGGGGGUUGUAGGACUGCAAUGUGCAAGAGGUAAGUUUAGCAGAACAUUCUGGAAAGUAUAGCCAUAGAGGGUGAUAGUCCCGUAUGCGAAAAACAAACCUUAGCUAGCAGUAUCCUGAGUAGGGCGGGACACGAGGAAUCCUGUCUGAAUCUGGGUCGACCACGAUCCAACCCUAAAUACUAAUACCAGAUCGAUAGUGUACAAGUACCGUGAGGGAAAGGUGAAAAGAACUGAGGUGAUCAGAGUGAAAUAGAACCUGAAACCAUUUGCUUACAAUCAUUCAGAGCCCUAUGUAGCAAUACAGGGUGAUGGACUGCCUUUUGCAUAAUGAGCCUGCGAGUUGUGGUGUCUGGCAAGGUUAAGCAAACGCGAAGCCGUAGCGAAAGCGAGUCUGAAUAGGGCGCUUAGUCAGAUGCUGCAGACCCGAAACGAAGUGAUCUAUCCAUGAGCAAGUUGAAGCUAGUGUAAGAACUAGUGGAGGACUGAACCCAUAGGCGUUGAAAAGCCCCGGGAUGACUUGUGGAUAGGGGUGAAAGGCCAAUCAAACUUCGUGAUAGCUGGUUCUCUCCGAAAUAUAUUUAGGUAUAGCGUUGUGUCGUAAUAUAAGGGGGUAGAGCACUGAAUGGGCUAGGGCAUACACCAAUGUACCAAACCCUAUCAAACUCCGAAUACCUUAUAUGUAAUCACAGCAGUCAGGCGGCGAGUGAUAAAAUCCGUCGUCAAGAGGGAAACAACCCAGACUACCAGCUAAGGUCCCUAAAUCUUACUUAAGUGGAAAACGAUGUGAAGUUACUUAAACAACCAGGAGGUUGGCUUAGAAGCAGCCAUCCUUUAAAGAAAGCGUAAUAGCUCACUGGUCUAGUGAUUUUGCGCGGAAAAUAUAACGGGGCUAAAGU